GUGUACAGAGCUAUCACAUACACUAGAAUUCAAACAAUAUAGAGAAGAUUAUCAUGACCCCUGAGCAAGAAUAGAAUGAAAAUUAAUGAAAUUUCCUAUGUUUGA